GUCUGAUGCGAUCUGGCUGCUCACACUACACGACACGUCGGACUCGGUCGGACUGACCGGAAUUGCAAGAAGAAGAAGCCGGAAGUGGGAGAUGCUUGGAUUCUCACAGAUGCUUUCCUGAGAUGAUGCUACUCACCAAAGAAAAGCGCGUUGCUCUGGCAAUUUGUGCCAUUCUGUGUGCAGACAGCAAAAAAAAAAGACGACGGCGACGUGUAUGGACGAGGAAAUGGCUUGGUAGACGUGGGCAGUAUGGCCUGUCAAUUCUUCAACGAGAGCUGGAGGUUGAUGAUAUGAGGGGUUUUCGGGACCUCCUCAGAAUUUCUGUAGAGGAGUUCUAUUUUCUUCUGGAGAGGGUUACUCCUCACAUUGUGAAGCAGGAUACUCACCUCAGGAAGGCCAUCAGCCCUAAGGAGAGGCUUUCUGUUACCCUUAGAUUUUUGGCAACAGGCGAGACCUUCAACUCGUUGAGUUUCCAGUAUAGGAUUGGAAGCACCACACUGAGCAGGAUCGUCAUGGAAACAUGCACAGCCCUUACCUCUGUGUUGCGUGAAGAUUACUUGAAGACACCAUCAACUGAUGCCGAAUGGAAGGCCAUUGCCAGCGACUUUUACCAUAAGUGGCAGUUUCCCCAAUGCUUGGGGGCUAUAGAUGGCAAACACAUUUUCAUCCAACCCCCUGCCAAGAGCGGAAGCU